rnacentral:siRNA from 1 species
AGCAAACAUCUUAGCAUUAAAAGC